GAUGAAGAACUUAGCGAAAUGCGAUAAGUAAUGUGAAUUGCAGAAUUCAGUGAAUCAUCGAAUCUUUGAACGCACAUUGCGCCCGCCAGUAUUCUGGCGGGCAUGCCUGUCCGAGCGUCAUUUCAACCAUCAAGCCCCGGGCUUGUGUUGGGGACCUGCGUCCGACGCAGGCCCUGAAAACCAGUGGCGGGCUCGCUGUCCACACCGAGCGUAGUAACUAACCUCGCUAUGGAGUGGCGCGGGCGCCUGCCGUAAAACCCCCAAUUUCACAAGGUUGACCUCGGAUCAGGUAGGAAUACCCGCUGAACUUAAGCAUAUCAAUAAGCGGAGGA
rnacentral:misc_RNA from 1 species